ACUGCAGAUAGUACAGCUUCCACAGGAGCAAGGGAUGCCUGAGCACAAGUGGCCGAGUUCCCAGUGACUUUCCGAAGCACUUUCCCACCACCCUCCUGCAUGAAAUCAGGGAUUCUGCACCUGCAUAAGGGCUAGCUGGCCAAAGCCUCUCUGCUCUGCCUCCGAGGACAAGGGACCAGCACAAAUAACCGGUGGGAAAUUGGAUCUUGACAAAAUUACCAGCAAAUCCAUAAAGACCAGUGAAGGCAGUUUGAUUGAUUUCUUUGAUGACAGUUCCACAAAAGUUGAAGAAAUGCUGUGUCUCCAAAGAGGCAUGUAGUUUACCCUAAAACUGGGACACAAUUAAGAGGUUUGAGUGAAAUGCCAGUGAUGUACUUUGCCUUGCUAAGGAAUCCAUCCAAACAGAAGAGACAGCACUCAGCAAGCAGGGUUAUCGCUGUGGCUUGGUGCCUGCACUAGGAAUCCACUGUUCCUGGAGGCCAUUUUUCCUGGUCUGUUGCACUUGUUGUUGUGCUUGUUGUAGUUAUUACUGUUAUUAUUGUCAUAGCUGUUGUUGUUGGAUAGAACAGAGAGAAAUGGAUAGAGGAGGGGAGACAGAGAGCGGGAGAGAAAGAGAGACAUCUGCAGAAGUGAUUCCCUGCAGGUGGGGAGCUGGGGGCUGGAGCCUGGAUCCUUAUGCUGGCCCUUGUGCUUUGCACCAUGUGUGGUUAACCCGCUGCGCUACCGCCCAGGCUCCCCUAUGCUCUAUUUUUCUUUGGUCUUCUUUGACAUUUUGGAUUGUUGAUUUAUUUUCAAUUAAACAUGUUACUGUCUACAUAUACUUAUUUAUAUAUUUUUGGUGCACUGGACCAAGAAAAACUCCCAAGUGUGUAUUAGAACAGGAACUUUGACUAGAGUAACUGUAUAUAUGCAAAAAGGAAACCUUAAAAGCGCUAAUGAGUGCACAUGGGUAUGUUAUAACAUUAGGACAUGGCUUUCUUUAAUUACUCCAACAUUUUUACUAUUUGCAGCAUUUGUAAAAGUACUGUUUGUGUGUAUGUAUCAAUUCCAUUUAUAAAUAGCUAUUUGGGUAGUUUUGUGAAAUGAGUGUUUUGCUAAGUCAAUCAGUCAGUUAUUCUCUACAAAUCCAUUAGCUAGAAGAGGGAGGAGAGUCAGAAACCAUUUUGGCUAUUCUAAUACAGGUGGAAUGAAUUUAUUUUAAACUCAGGAAAUCAAGAUUAAGAUCAGAGGAUUCAGUCAAAGCAAAAAUGACUAAUUUUACUCCCCUGCCCACAUUCUAUUAAAAUUACUAUUAGAGAUAUUAACAUACAUUCCUCAAAUGGACAAUUGUAAUUAGAAUUUGACAGGCAGAAAAACAUACGAAAGCAUUAGCUAGAAAAUGUCUAGGGUAUAAGAGACACGUGACAUAAAGCUGUAUGUACAGUUCAUUUCUCAGUGUGCAGCUCAGUGGCAUCAAAAGCAUUCAUACUGUUGUACAGCGAUCCCUACCAUCUAGCUUCAGAACCUUUUCUGUCUUUCUAACCUGAAACUCUACCCCAUGAGCCGCAGUAACCACUUGCUGUCACUAUAAAGUAGACCACUUUAGGUAGCUCAUGUGAGUAUAAUCACAUGGUAUUGGCCUUUGGGGACUGAUUUUUUUUUUUUUUUGUCUGUUUUGUAGAGCAAGAGCCUAACACAUGAACGAUUUUACAACUCUGAGGCCCAAUUUUUUAUUCAGAUAGAGAGACACAGAAAGGGAGAGACACCACAGCACCAGGGCUUUCCCUAGUGUUGUAGCACUCCCAUGUGGCAUUGGGGCCUGAAUGUGGAUUAUUUGCAUAGCAAGCAACACACCCUAUCCAAUGAACUAAUUCUGCAUCUGACUUAUUUUAAUAAACAUGACUUCCAGUUUCAUCCAUAUUCUAAUAUAAUGCCCCCUCUUUAAGUCAAGUGAUAUAUAUAUAUUACAUAUCUAUAUAUUACAUUUUAUAAAUCCAUUCAUCCUCUGAUGACAAGCAAAUGGCUUUCUUUUUUUUUUUUUUUUUCCUCUUUUUUCUCUUGGUCCUGAUGGAACUGGAGUUCAAAGCCCUCUGGUCCUUUAGCACUUUUCCCCAUCUUGGGAGCAUGAACCAAAGUUCUUUGUGGGUUGCAGAAGGUGGAAGUUCUGGCUUCUGUUAUGGCUUUUCUAAUGGGCAUUGGCAGGCAGAUCCAUUCCUCCAGCAUAUUUCUGUCUUUUCCUAGUGUGGUAGAGCUGUGGGAAUGGGGCUCUAAGGCACAUUGGUGAGUUGGUUUUCCCAGAGGUCAGGAUGGAAUCAUAGUGGCAUUUACAAUUUGGUGGCUCAGAAAUGCAACCUCCACAAACUUGAAUCUCUGUCUUUAAGGCUUAGAGGUGGAGCAGAGGGGGGAAUGGGGGGGGAAGCCUCAUAUAUGUCUGUAUUUUCCUUCAUUUUUUUUUUCUUAAGUCUUCCUGUACAUGUAUGCUACAGGUUUCUUUUGUGUCUUUUUUUGCAUCUCUAUUUCUAAAACUCCUUGUAUUCUCCAUGAUCUUCUUUCUGGACAAAUAGAUCCAGAUCUGAAUAUAUUUCCUGAGGAGAAAUUCCCUAGUCUUGGCUCUGCCUCUGGCUUUUUUUUUUAUUAUUAAUUUUAUUUCUGAUAGAGAUGCAGAGAGAGAGAGUCAUACACAGAGAGAGAAACACCAGAGCAGAUGUUCUAAUCAUUGUAGUGGUAACAUGGUUUGAUUUAGUCCCAAUAUAUUGGUUUAUAAGUAAAUUUAUCAAAUUAAAUCACUUUGACUUUUUUUUUUUUUUACCAGAGCACUACUUAGCUCUGGCUUAUGGUGGUGCUGGGGAUUGAACCUGGGAUUUGGAGCCUCAGGCAUGAGAGUCUCUUUGCAUAACCAUUAUGCUAUCUACCCCUGUCCUCACUUUAACUUAAAUACUUAAAUUUCAAAGUGACUAUAAUAGAAUUUUCUAAUAAGGUCAAAGUCCAGAGUACCUGUGUGUGUGUGUGUGUGUGUGUGUGUUUAACCAAUUAUCUUUUAUUUCUUGUUAACUUUCUGUUGAGAAAUGAAUUUCUACUAACUUAGUAGAUUUUAUAAGCUAUCCUAUAACAAAUGUUAAUGCUAUACUAACCUGUGUUGAAAGUGUAUGCAUUAGCCUUGUGAAUUAUAAGCCACUCAGGAUCAGGGGGACAAACACAUUCUCCACCUAGAAGUGAAGGGCACAGGGGAGUCCGGUGGUAGCACAGUGGGAUAAGCGCAAGGACCACAUGAGGAUCCCAGUUUGAGCCCUAGGCUCCCCACCUACAGGGGGCUUCCCACCUACAGUGAAACAGGUCUGCAGGUGUCUAUCUUUCUCUCUCCCUCUGUCUUCCCCUCCUCUCUCCAUUCCUCUCUGUCCCAUCCAACAACAAUGACAUCAAUAGCAACAACAAUAAUAACUACAACAAUUAAAAAAAAAGUGAAGAGCACACUUGGGUCAUCCAACAAGUGCGUCACUAAGAAAUGUAAUACACGCAAUGGCUGGUGAAUCACAGUCAUAAAGGAAGCUUUCUGCACAGAUGGCUCCUGCAAAGCCUUACAGGAAUGGGGAGGAGAAGGGAAGGAAGGGACCCUGAAUUUGGCUCUUUAGAACAUAUGAAUACAAGAAGAACAAAAACAAACAAAACAUUAUAAAUGGCGAGCGGUGCUCUGGGGUGUGUGUGUGUG